rnacentral:rRNA from 1 species
UACGUAGGGUGCAAGCGUUAAUCGGAAUUACUGGGCGUAAAGCGUGCGCAGGCGGCUUUGCAAGACAGAUGUGAAAUCCCCGGGCUUAACCCAGAAAGGUCAACCGAUACUGCGGGGCUAGAGUGCAGAAGGGGCAACUGGAAUUCUCGGUGUAGCGGUGAAAUGCGUAGAUAUCGAGAGGAACACCUGCGGCGAAGGCGGGUUGCUGGGCUGACACUGACGCUGAGGCGCGAAAGCUAGGGGAGCGAACGGG